rnacentral:rRNA from 1 species
CACGAACGCUGGCGGCGUGCUUAACACAUGCAAGUCGAGCGGAAAGGCCUUUCGGGGUACUCGAGCGGCGAACGGGUGAGUAACACGUGAGUAACCUGCCCCUGACUCUGGGAUAACCCCGGGAAACCGGAGCUAAUACCGGAUACGAACCGCACAGGCAUCUGCGCGGUUGGAAAGAUUUAUCGGUCAAGGAUGGGCUCGCGGCCUAUCAGCUUGUUGGUGGGGUAACGGCCCACCAAGGCGACGACGGGUAGCCGGCCUGAGAGGGCGACCGGCCACACUGGGACUGAGACACGGCCCAGACUCCUACGGGAGGCAGCAGUGGGGAAUAUUGCACAAUGGGCGAAAGCCUGAUGCAGCGACGCCGCGUGAGGGACGAAGGCCUUCGGGUUGUAAACCUCUUUCAGCAGGGAAGAAGCGAAAGUGACGGUACCUGCAGAAGAAGCACCGGCUAACUACGUGCCAGCAGCCGCAGUAAGAC